AUUGAACGUUGGCGGCAGGCUUAACACAUGCAAGUCGAACGAGAAAAUGCCUUCGGGCAUGAGUACAGUGGCGGACGGGUGAGUAACGCGUAGGAACCUACCUGGUAGUGGGGGAUAACUCGGGGAAACUCGAGCUAAUACCGCAUACGCUCUACGGAGGAAAGAGGGCCUCUAGUUAUAAGCUCUCGUUGUCAGAGGUGCCGGCGUUGGAUUAGCUAGUUGGUAGGGUAAAGGCCUACCAAGGCGACGGUCCAUAGCUGGUCUGAGAGGACGAUCAGCCACACUGGAAGUGAGACACGGUCCAGACUCCUACGGGAGGCAGCAGUGGGGAAUCUUGGGCAAUGGGCGCAAGCCUGACCCAGCCAUGCCGCGUGUGCGAAGAAGGCCUUCGGGUUGUAAAGCACUUUCAGUGGUGAAGAAAAGCCAGGGGCUAAUACCCCCGGGUCUUGACGUUAGCCACAGAAGAAGCACCGGCUAACUCCGUGCCAGCCGCCGCAGUAA
rnacentral:rRNA from 1 species